UUGUUAAAGACCAAAAAUCGUGAGGCGAGCCUCGCUCGGUACUUUAUUUUACAGCCGCUGCGCCUGCUCUUCACCGCCACCGCUUCCCGUCGGCGGCCGCCCAAACCCCGGAACCCUCUCGGCCAAUGCCGGCGCCGCUCGCCGCCUCCUGGCGCCGGCAUGCCUCCGCCGCGGCGUCCUCCUCCACUCCCAGGACCCUCCUCUUGCUCGUCCCGGUUCUCAUCCUCCUCGUCUUCGUCCUCUCCAGAGCCCCAGAUCUCACCUUCUCCCCCGCCACUGCCGCCUCGCCCCGCCUCCCGGCCCGGCUCCGCCCCUUCGACUGCUACGCCUCGCCGCAGGCCUCCCCGGUCUUGGCCAGCCUCGUGGAGGGCGUGCCCCGCCCCUUCCUCUACUCCCUCGCCGACCUGGGGCCCCUCCCCGACCGCCCGCACCGGAACAUCGCCCGCCUCCUCAAGGGCAAGCGCUUCCGCAAGCCCGACAUCUCCCAGACCAUCCAGGAACUGCUCGCGGGGGAGGUAGGGAGGGGCUCCGGCGGCGGGGUGGUGGUGGACGUCGGGGCCAAUGUUGGGAUGGCGGCCUUCGCGGCGGCCGUGAUGGGGUUCCGGGUGGUGGCAUUCGAGCCGGUCUUCGAGAACCUGCAGCGGAUCUGCGAUGGAGUGUACCUGAACCGGGUGCAGGACCAGGUGGUGGUGUAUCAUGCUGCAGCAUCUGACCGAGCUGGGAACAUCACAAUGCAUAAGGUGAUUGGACGACUCGACAACAGUGCUAUAUCUGCAACUGGUGCGAAGUUGGCAUUCAAAUCUAAUGAAGAAGUUGCUGUUGAGGUUGCUACAAUCCCAUUGGAUGAAGUCAUUCCAGAUGCAGAGCGAGUGGUUCUGAUCAAAAUUGAUGUUCAAGGUUGGGAAUCUCAUGUUCUGAGAGGUGCAUCAAAGUUGCUCUCAAGGAGGAGGGGUGAAGCUCCCUACCUUAUAUACGAAGAGGACGAGCGCCUGCUGCAGGCGAGCAACAGUAGUGCACAAGAGAUGAGGGCAUUUCUUGGCAGUGUUGGUUACAAUCAAUGUACACGGCAUGGGACGGAUGCUCACUGUACAAAAGAAUAGACAAAGCCUUUCUGCCUGGUGGUUGGACGCCCCUCAGCUGGGGAUACAUAGAACAGUCAAAUAGGAUAUCCUGAGCUAUUUGGGUCCCAAAACUAUUCCAAGUCGUUCACUGCAGGUCCUAAGGUCGCCCGUACAGUGAUUGUUGGCUGAUGUGUGCCUGGACUAGUGCCACAACGACCCAGGGCAUGUGGUGGAAGAAUUCCUGCCACUGGCGGUUGAGACAUUUUGCAAUUUGGUCCAUUAUAUUCUUUGCUUUCUCCAGCCGCUCUCACCUCUCUUUCAUCAGUUCUGCUAUCCGCCGCCGCUGCCAUGUCUGGAAACUAUGCGAGCUCGACGGCAGCAAGACGCAGCAGGAACAAGCCGGCGCGACAAAUGAUCUAGCAAACUGAAUGAUAAUUGACUGAGAGAAUUUGUUUAGACAAAUGACAAAUGAAUAUAUAUUUCACACCCUC